AACUAACCAGGAUUUCCUUAGUAGCGGCGAGCGAACAGGAAUAAGCCCAGCACUGAAUCCCGCCGUCCCCACGGCGGCGGGAGAUGUGGUGUUCGGGAGGUUCCGCUUUCUCGUUGUCGUCGUCUCCUGUCCAAGUUCGUCUUGAACGGGGCCGUUUUCCCGUAGAGGGUGCCAGGCCCGUAGCGACGGAGGACGGCGGCGAGAGGGACUCUCCUCAGAGUCGGGUUGCUUGAGAGUGCAGCCCUAAGUGGGUGGUAAACUCCAUCUAAGGCUAAAUACUACCGCGAGACCGAUAGCGAACAAGUACC
rnacentral:rRNA from 1 species